GAUGAACGCUGGCGGCGUGCCUAAUACAUGCAAGUCGAGCGAACAGACGAGGAGCUUGCUCCUUCGACGUUAGCGGCGGACGGGUGAGUAACACGUAGGUAACCUACCUAUAAGACUGGGAUAACUUCGGGAAACCGGAGCUAAUACCGGAUAAUAUUUCGAACCGCAUGGUUCGAUAGUGAAAGAUGGUCUUGCUAUCACUUAUAGAUGGACCUGCGCCGUAUUAGCUAGUUGGUAAGGUAACGGCUUACCAAGGCAACGAUACGUAGCCGACCUGAGAGGGUGAUCGGCCACACUGGAACUGAGACACGGUCCAGACUCCUACGGGAGGCAGCAGUAGGGAAUCUUCCGCAAUGGGCGAAAGCCUGACGGAGCAACGCCGCGUGAGUGAUGAAGGUCUUCGGAUCGUAAAACUCUGUUAUUAGGGAAGAACAAACGUGUAAGUAACUGUGCACGUCUUGACGGUACCUAAUCAGAAAGCCACGGCUAACUACGUG
rnacentral:rRNA from 1 species